UUCCUCGAUCUUUCCUCUUCUCAAAUCAUCUGCCUCUCUCUCUCCUCCAUUGAAGCGUACUCGAAUUUCUCCAUUGAAGGGGCUUCUGAGUUUUCUCCUUUCAUUCGAUCUUUCCUCUUCUCAUACUCUUUCUUCUCUCUUUCAUUCGAUCUCCUUUUCCUUCUCUCUUUCUACAAUAUUGGAGGUUAGGGUUUCUGGGUGCGUCUAUUUUGAAUCAAUUCGUUGGUGUUUAAAUAUAGGGAUGGUGUUUUUUGUGUGAUCCUCUUGAUUGAGUGACCGGAAAUUAUUGGUGUUGGUGAACUUUAGGAGAGGGAUUUGGAAAGGAGAGAAGGGAAAGUGUAAGAGAUCUUGUCUGAUAGGUUAGGGAAAUCGGGGAUCUGAAUUGUGAUGACUGGAUUGUAUUAAGUUGGAAUCAUUCGAAAUGGAGCUUGUCCUUGUAUAUUAACCUUAGUGGCUGUGUUUUGUGCACAUGCUUGUUUGCUCAUGAUCAUGUGAGUCUUAUAAUGGAAUCCUGGACAAUUUUUCAUUGCUCGUACCAGUAAAAAAGCAAUCUUAACCAACUUUGUCUGCCAUUUCCUUUGUACUUUCAGCAAAGUAUCUUGUAUCUAUCUUUGUUUGUUCUGGGUGCUAUGAUUAUUGCUAUCACAUUGCCUAUCGAGAUGUAUAGAGUCUUGAUGCAUAAUUGCGUAUUACAUUCAUAAUAUCUUUGUAAAUUGUGUUAGCUUAUAUUUUUAAUGCGUUCUAGGCAAAACAGAGGAAAAGACUUUCAAUUAGUGAACUAUCUGACAGAGCAGCCAAAGUUCUUGGUGAUCAUCAGACAGAAUCUGUCUUUGGUAGUUUUAGAAGACCAGCUUCCAGAAAUGAGUUGUUGAAAGCUAAUAGGGCUAUAAAGCUGCUUAAAAAGAGGGCAAUGUCAAAAGAAGAGAAGAUAUCUGCUGCAAUGGCUGCUGGACUUGAUUGGGAAAGUGAUGAUUCAGAAGAUGAAGUUCCAGUAAUAAUUGUUCACCUUAAAACAUCAAUUUCUCCUGGUGAAAAAUUCUGCUUUUUUUUGUAUUUGAUUAUUCAUUACACUUUUCUUUGGGAUGGGUUCAGCAACAACCACUGAAGGAGCCUCCAUUGCCCGAUCUCUUCAAGGACGAGGAGCAUUAUAACCUCAUUUCAGAUGUCAGUCUUUAUUUCGCGACAAUUUUGCUAAUGUUGCUUGCUUGAAUAAUAAAACUGCAUUGAUUCAUUUUUUUUUUAUACCAGUGCUACUAUCCUUCUACUGGCCAAACUUUAAUUCUUACGUACUUUCUAGGAUGUUGUAUGCUUCACUUGAAUUUCUCGUUCAA